AUGUUUCCACUCAGAGUAAAAGUAUACGAUACAAUAAAACGGAGCGACAUCUCUGGCCAUUUUCUUGCUCCCGAUAUUUUUGCAUGCGAUAAUGGCGCUAGCCAAUCGGUAAAUAAAUCAGAGGGAAGCAAUCACGUUUAUGUAGGGAAGAUAAUCGCGGAGAUUGCCCUAUGUAGGGAAGAUAAUCGCCGAGAUUGCAGGGCAGUUAAGGCGGCGCUUCACAUGCAGCAAGAAAAUCCCGAGUUCAGCGGAAGGGAAGGAAAUAAUAAAGCUAGGCUGCUCGCACUACCCCAUUUUCAUCUAUCAUAUUGCUAA
rnacentral:rRNA from 1 species